ACGCAAGUUGCGCCCGAAGCCGUCAGGCCGAGGGCACGCCUGCCUGGGCGUCGUAC
rnacentral:rRNA from 1 species